rnacentral:rRNA from 1 species
CCUACGGGAGGCAGCAGUGAGGAAUACUGGACAAUGGGCGAAAGCCUGAUCCAGCAAUGCCGCGUGAGUGAAGAAGGCUUUAGGGUUGUAAACCUCUUUCACCCGCAACGAUGAUGACGGUAGCGGGAGAAGAAGCCCCGGCUAAUUCCGUGCCAGCAGCCGCGGUAAU